UUAAUUUUACCCUCUUUUAAUUUAUAAUGCCUAUUCUACCCUUAUGUCUAUUUGGUGAAUCCUUCAUUUUCUCAGAUCUCACUAUCACCGAUUUAAUCUUAUCCUCAGAUGUUCCCGUCGUCAAUCUCUCCAUCAUUAAAAUCGGGAACUCGCCAUCGCCAUCGCCGUUUCUUUCUGUCUUUCUUUCUUAUCUUCUUCUUCUUCUUCUUCUUCUUAGAUCUAAACGUCGUUGUGAUUUGUUGAUCUCAUCGUUAUUAAAAUUGGGCAACUCGUUACUUGUGGUUACUAGAAUUGGGAAGCGAUCAUGUUUAGGUUCGUGUUUAUCAUAUGAUGGUUUGUAUAUAUUGUCCUCCUCAGUCUUGUAGGUGAUAGAUCUUGCUGGAAUUUGUUGAAUUUUCUGGGAAAUGAAUUGGUUGUUGGGAGUUCUUUGAUUGCUUAAUUUUUUUAAUUUGUUGAUUAUGAUUCUAAUAUUACCAAUCUUUCAUGUUCACUGGAAACUGGAAAGUAGUUUUAUUCAUGUACUGUUAGUGUGUAUAUAGAUUGAGAAGUCCAUUGAUAGUAUUUGAUCCUAAAUUAUUUAUUCCUCUAUUUCCUAUAAUAAACACAAAAGCCAGAAUCCACAUGCGUCUUUGUGUAUUUGUGUUGAAAAACACACUUCUUCACCGUAAAUAUACGGUACGUUAAGGAAGCCUAAGUGAGGAAUAUGUUCAAGGUGAGUCAUUGAUGGGAAUAUCAACUUCACAUUUGGCCAUUACAAAGAAGCUAUGAAACAGUUUUGUGGAUGGUGAAGGGAUGAGUGAAGCCAGACUUGCGGUGGAGUUGACACGUGGAGGUGAAAAGAAAAAACAGAGCUAAGAAAUGGAGGACAAGGAGAAGAGCAUGUUUUGGAUUGUGGUGUUGUUUUUAAUAUAUAAUCAAAACUAGAUAUCAGUUAUUGAUUUACGCAGUUUCUCUAUAAUCUGGUUUUGUUUCUUGUUUUGUCGAGCAGUUCUUAAGAGUUAAUACUAAUAAAAGUUAUGUAUUAACACAAGUUUUGUUGAGAGUAAGGCCUUGAAGUGUUCUGAAUGGAUGGUUAAGAAACCUUAUUUAUGAUAA